UUUCCGUAGGUGAACCUGCGGAAGGAUCAUUAAAAAAUGUGGUACCGAUUGUUGGUACUAAAUUAAUCAUCCUACCCUUUGUGAAUUUGUUUGUAACGAAUUUUUUAAAUGGGUCUUUCCCUAAGUUGGAUUGUAGUAAAAUACAAAAAAGACUUAGGGGAAUGACUUUUUUAAAAGACUUUUUUUUAAAUUAAAACUUUUUGUAUUCAUUUGUCUAAAAUUUAUUUUUAUAAUAUAAAAACAACUUUGACAAUGGAUCUCUUGGUUCUCGCAACGAUGAAGAACGCAGCAAAAUGCGAUAAGUAGUGUGAAUUGCAGAAUACGUGAAUCAUCGAAUCUUCGAACGCAUAUUGCACUUUUUUAGUUUACUAAAAAAGUAUGUCUGUUUGAGUAUCAGUAAAAUAUUCUCACAAACAUAUAUUGUUUUGUGGUAUGAGUGUUUUACAACGAUAAACAAGUUGUUUCACUUUAAAUUCUUUUUGUAAGUUUUACCAAUUCAAAAUUAAAAUUGGAUAAAAUUUUCCUUUAACGAGGAAUAACCUAAACAAUUUUAAAUUUUUGGUUUGAUAAACAUUCAUAAAGGAAUCUAUACAACAAAUAACUUGAUCUCAAAUCAGAUAAGAGUACCCGCUGAACUUAAGCAUAUCAAUAAGCGGAGGAAAAGAAACUAACAAGGAUUCCCUUAGUAACGGCGAGUGAAGCGGGAAGAGCUCAAAUUUGAAAUCUUCAAGGUUUGACCUUGACGAAUUGUAGUUUAUAGAAGUGUUUUCUGUUGGAGUUUUGGUAAAAGUUCUUUGGAAUAGGACAUCAUAGAGGGUGAGAAUCCCGUAUUUGACCAUGACUUUCCAGCUGUGUGAUACACUUUCAAAGAGUCGGAUUGUUUGGGAAUGCAGUCCAAAAUGGGUGGUAAAUUUCAUCUAAAGCUAAAUAUUGGCGAGAGACCGAUAGCGAACAAGUACCGUGAGGGAAAGAUGAAAAGAACUUUGAAAAGAGAGUUAAACAGUACGUGAAAUUGUCAAAAGGGAAGCGUUUGACACCAGUGUUGUUUUCUCGAAAAUCAAUUUAAUGAGUUCUUGUUUUUAAGUUAUUGUGACUUUAUCAGCGCAUUUCUUAUUUUACUUGACUCAUUGAAUGCACUUUUCGUUUAACAAGUCAACAUCAAUUUCUUUGGUGGUAAAAAGUUUAAAGGAAGGUGGCUUGGACUUCGGUUCAAGUGUUUAUAGCCUUUUUUCUAUGCCAUCGGAGAGAUUGAGGUCUGCAGCGUAGAUCCUUCGGGGUUAGAUACCUUUGUGCUAAGUUAUAGUUUUUUAUAGACAACUUGUUGACUAUAAUUAACCCUGUAAUUUACUCGCUUAGGCUAUUUUACCUACGCUUA
rnacentral:misc_RNA from 1 species